rnacentral:rRNA from 1 species
UACGUAGGCAGCAAGCGUUGUUCGGAGUUACUGGGCGUAAAGGGUGCGUAGGCGGUCCUAUAAGUAUGGUGUGAAAUCUCCCGGCUUAACUGGGAGGGUGCGCUAUAGACUGUGGGACUAGAGUGUGGGAGAGGAAAGUGGAAUUCCUGGUGUAGCGGUGAAAUGCGCAGAUAUCAGGAGGAACACCAAUGGCGAAGGCAGCUCACUGGGACGGUAUUGACGCUGAGACGCGAAAGCGUGGGGAGCAAACAGG